UCCGGUGGUACAAGAUGGACCCGCGUCUGAUUAGCUGGUUGGUGAGGUAACGGCCCACCAAGGCGACGAUCAGUAGCCGGCCUGAGAGGGUGAACGGCCACAUUGGGACUGAGACACGGCCCAAACUCCUACGGGAGGCAGCAGUGGGGAAUAUUGCACAAUGGGGGAAACCCUGAUGCAGCAACGCCGCGUGAGUGAAGAAGUAUUUCGGUAUGUAAAGCUCUAUCAGCAGGAAAGAAAAUGACGGUACCUGACUAAGAAGCCCCGGCUAACCACGUGCCAGCAGCCGCGGUAAUACGUAGGGGGCAAGCGUUAUCCGGAUUUACUGGGUGUAAAGGGAGUGUAGACGGUUUUGCAAGUCUGAAGUGAAAGCCCGGGGCUUAACCCCGGGACUGCUUUGGAAACUGUAGGACUAGAGUGCAGGAGAGGUAAGUGGAAUUCCUAGUGUAGCGGUGAAAUGCGUAGAUAUUAGGAGGAACACCAGUGGCGAAGGCGGCUUACUGGACUGUAACUGACGUU
rnacentral:rRNA from 1 species